GGGGAAUAUUGCACAAUGGGCGAAAGCCUGAUGCAGCAACGCCGCGUGAGGGAUGACGGCCUUCGGGUUGUAAACCUCUUUUAGUAGGGAAGAAGCGAGAGUGACGGUACCUGCAGAAAAAGCACCGGCUAACUACGUGCCAGCAGCCGCGGUAAUACGUAGGGUGCAAGCGUUGUCAGGAAUUAUUGGGCGUAAAGAGCUGGUAGGCGGUUUGUCGCGUCUGCUGUGAAAUCCAGAGGCUCAACCUCGGGCUUGCAGUGGGUACGGGCAGACUAGAGUGCGGUAGGGGAGAUUGGAAUUCCUGGUGUAGCGGUGGAAUGCGCAGAUAUCAGGAGGAACACCGAUGGCGAAGGCAGAUCUCUGGGCCGUAACUGACGCUGAGGAGCGAAAGCGUGGGGAGCGAACAGGAUUAGAUACCCUGGUAGUCCACGCCGUAAACGUUGGGCGCUAGAUGUAGGGACCUUUCC
rnacentral:rRNA from 1 species